CAGGAGGCCAUCCUGGCAAGCCAGUGACAAGAAGGGGGAUCCCUACCCUGCGAAGAGCAUGGAGGGUGGCAAGCUCCUAGCCCAAGUGGUCCAGCUCCACCCAGAGACGACCAGCUUCGCAGCAGGAGGAGAUGAUCGCCACUCUCUUCCUGCCCCUUUCCCAAUUGUGCCGAGAGGACGAACAAGUUGAGGGAUCAUGUGACGCUCUCCCACCUUCACCCUGUGUUUAGGAGGUCCAUGCCCUUGUGGGAUGAAGCCACGGCUAUGCGACUUAGAGUGUGCGUGUGGUUGGCUGACCAACUCCUUCGAAGUUGGGCCACGUUGACAGACCUGAUCCAGAGUGUUCCCACCUUCAGGUUUUCAGGGAACCUGGCGCAGAGUUUUUCAAUACACAUGCAUUUUGCCGGAAAAUGAAUCUGACUUCACACCACGAAAUUUUAACAGGAAAAAGACAAUUUGAUGAGCUUUCAUUCCAGAGGUCUCUCGUUGCUGAACGAAAAUUCGGGCUGGAACAUAAACAUUACCGCCUAUGGAAAAUGGAGCUCCAUGCUGGAAAGUGCACAAGGCCUCCAAAUCCAAAAUAUGACUAUGGAAGUUUUAUUGCCCAGACAUGUGAUUGUCUAGAACCAAUUGGAUGAUGCGUUAUAUAGAAUAUUCAUAUUGAGAGCUGCCAUGUCUUCUAAGAGAAACUCCAUUCUUUGAUGACUGAUGGAAAAGCCUCAUCACUUCCUUUGCUAAAGAACUUGUUAUCUUAAUCACUAGCCAUUAAUCAGUGACCACCGUUAUCAAAGCUCCCAGACACGCAUAAUGAUACAACUUCCUGGAUGGUGUUGAGUUUGUUUUUCAACCUGUGAAACCCAUUUGUUUUUAGGGGUGGGUAUGCUUAUAUUUAAUUUUCUCUCUUAGAAACCAAGCAAGUCAUUAUUUUCCUGGUCUCAAGUUAGUCUCAAAGCAUUUAACAGUAAAUUCUAUUUCAUUUAUAAUACUCUGAGAGUUUAGUUAAUGAACUAAGGCCACAUAAAGUUGAAAUAAUGGUUCUCGGGUAAAAUUUUCUAGAAAUGGAUGUGAGAGGGAAGCAUUUUUUCCCUUUUUAUUGUUGAUGAAAUAGAUGAGGGAGGCUUUUUUUUAUAAUCAUCGCCCAUCUUGGGUUCCAAAAGCGUAUGUUUUAUAAAACUGUUAAAAUACAGGUUUCGUUGAUGCCAC